CCUACGGGUGGCUGCAGUGGGGAAUAUUGGACAAUGGGCGAAAGCCUGAUCCAGCCAUGCCGCGUGUGUGAAGAAGGCCUUCGGGUUGUAAAGCACUUUCAGUGGGGAAGAAAGCCUUGGGGCUAAUACCCUCGAGGAAGGACAUCACCCACAGAAGAAGCACCGGCUAACUCCGUGCCAGCAGCCGCGGUAAUACGGAGAGUGCGAGCGUUAAUCGGAAUUACUGGGCGUAAAGCGCGCGUAGGCGGUCUGAUAAGCCGGUUGUGAAAGCCCCGGGCUCAACCUGGGAACGGCAUCCGGAACUGUCAGGCUAGAGUGCAGGAGAGGAAGGUAGAAUUCCCGGUGUAGCGGUGAAAUGCGUAGAGAUCGGGAGGAAUACCAGUGGCGAAGGCGGCCUUCUGGACUGACACUGACGCUGAGGUGCGAAAGCGUGGGUAGCAAACAGGAUUAGAUACCCUUGUAGUC
rnacentral:rRNA from 1 species